GUCUGCAGCUAUACCACCGUGAACAUGCCCAAUCUCGAGCAUGUCUGAUCUCAGAAGCUAAGCAGGGCAGGGCCUGGUUAGUACUUGGGUGGGAGAGAGGGGGACGGGGGGAUACAGCUAGAAGGGCCAGGUCAGUGCUCACU
rnacentral:rRNA from 1 species